rnacentral:rRNA from 1 species
UGCUUAGUACUGCGAGUGAACAGGGAUGAGCCCAGCACCGAAGCCUGUGGUCAUUUGAUCACUAGGCAAUGUGGUGUUUAGGUUAUCUCGCAGAGGCACUGCUCCACCCUAAGUCCAAAAAUGAGUACGGUAGUACGGACAUGGCCCAAAGAGGGUGAAAGGCCCGUGGGGGUGGAGAUCAGGCAGGCCAGUGCUUCUCUGAGUAAACCUUUGAGUCGGGUUGUUUGAGAUUGCAGCCCAAAGUGGGUGGUAAACUCCAUCCAAGGCUAAAUACGUGCACGAGUCCGAUAGCGAACAAGUACCGUGAGGGAACGUUGAAAAGUACUUUGAAGAGAGAGUAAACAGUGCGUGAAACCGCUCAGAGGUAAACGGGUGGAGUUGAACUGCGAACCCUGAGAAUUCAACUGGUGAGUGUGGUAUGAGCUUGGCAUGAAGGUUGGCUCUGCGGGUCUGCUUAGCUGCAGGUCUUCGCCUUUUGGUGGAGAUGCGCGAUACACUUGCCAAGUGUUGCGCGCUCGUUGAGUUACUCGGACAUGCUUGCCAGUGCACUUUCUCGGGGUGUUCACCACGACCGGCGCCGCUACUUGUCCAGUAUGGUUAAACCGUUCUUGCUUGGUCCUUGUGGCUUUGCUUGAUCGGGACGGCAGGUAACUCGUUGACUUGUGUGUUGGCCUCGGUUGACAUGCGCUUGGUUUUCGAGUGUAAUCAGCUGACUGUAUUGGUGCUGUGUAGUGCGUCGGAGACGGCGGCUUGUGGUGUGUGCCUGCGUGCCUAUUUGCUGACGGAACCGGGUUUGGUUAUUAUGUUGCCUGUUCUGCAGGCCUGGUGAUGGCUCGGUUUCGCUUGGUGGAUGGGAGCGUGUGUGACACUUAUCAGGGCCUAUAGUCUGUGGUGUUGUGGUAGACUAUCCACCUGACCCGUCUUGAAAACACGGACCAAGGGAGAGUAACAUGUGCGCGAGUCAUGGGGGUGUUACGAAACCCCAAAAGGCGAAG